rnacentral:misc_RNA from 1 species
AAAAGUCGUAACAAGGUUUCCGUAGGUGAACCUGCGGAAGGAUCAUUAAUAAAAGGAUACCUUCGGGUAUACCCCAUCCGUGUCUACAUACUCUUGUUGCUUUGGCAGGCCGUGGUCUCCCACUGUGGGCUCUGCCUGCAUGUGCCUGCCAGAGGACCAAACUCUGAAUGUUAGUGAUGUCUGAGUACUAUAUAAUAGUUAAAACUUUCAACAACGGAUCUCUUGGUUCUG